rnacentral:rRNA from 1 species
GAUCCUGGCUCAGGACGAACGCUGGCGGCGCGCCUAACACAUGCAAGUCGAACGAGCGAGAGAGAGCUUGCUUUCUCGAGCGAGUGGCGAACGGGUGAGUAACGCGUGAGGAACCUGCCUCAAAGAGGGGGACAACAGUUGGAAACGACUGCUAAUACCGCAUAAGCCCACAGGUCGGCAUCGACCAGAGGGAAAAGGGAAGGUAAAUCCGCCUUUGUAGAGUGCCGUCCGCGUCCGACUAGU